rnacentral:lncRNA from 10 species
UCCCAGGAUCCACCUCUGAUGUUCAGUGAAGAGGACCGGAAAAGUCUGCUAGAGCAGUACCAUCUGGGUCUGGAUCAAAAACGCAGAAAAUACGUGGUUGGAGAGCUCAUCUGGAAUUUUGCCGAUUUCAUGACUAACCAGUGUGUCAGUUUCUUGGUCGGGAAUGAAAAUAGUGCCAACCUGUGAUACCUUCACUCUAAUUUUACUUUCUGAGGAAGUUUUCUGUAAUAGUUAUUUGGUGAUAAUUAUUAAUACUGGUGAGAAAAUCAAUGUAAAAGAGGAGAAAUAACCCACACAACCACAUACAACUAGGAAAUGAUAGAUGGAUCUGAAAAAAAGGAUAUGCACUCUUAACAAGUUCAACACCCAAGUACUAUUGCAAGUACCAGCUGUAUUUCAUGGA